UCCCCAAAACCUCAUUUCUCAACUCUAAACCCUAAAACCUAAACUAUAAACCCUAAACCCUAAAUUAUAAACUCUAAACCCCACCCCUUGAGUGCUAUUUUGUGACUUUUGGCCUUGAGUGCUAGUUUGGGAACAAAAACUUGAUUUAGUGCUAUUUUGGUCUUUUUCUCUUUAAAAGUUGAUCCGACAUACGUUCGGAUCUUUGUAAUCAUAUAUGCUCGUAUGUCUGUUUCUUUGUAAUCAUAUUUGUUUAUUCUAGAUUUUGAUAUAAAUCAAAUUUAUUAUAAAUAAAUUUGUAUUUUUGAUUAUUAUUUACAUUUAAAUAUUACAAAGAAAGCAUUAUGAUUGUGCAUAUUAUAAUAUAUUUAAUUGUUUUAAUAGAAUAUAUAUUGAUGAUGAAAUAUGUAAUGAGGUUUUAAUAAAAUCAGGAUAUUUUUGCAUUUUUGCAUUUUUAGAAUUUUGAAUUAUUAAUGUAAUUAAUAAUAUUAAUACUUGAAAAUCUAUGUGGCAUCUACCCGUAAGUCUAGGUCUCGGAUCCGAUUAAAUACGACCUAUAUACUCAAAAUAUUGAUUUACUGUAUUGAUUUGAAUUUUUCUAAAUUUAAUUUACAAUAUAAUUUUAAUAUAUUUUCGCGAUAGUUUCAUAUUUUAUCAUAUUCCACGUUAAAAAUGGUAAAUUGAGUGAUAUGCAUAUAAUUUAGUUCAAAUUUUGGAUUAAAUUAUAAAAUUUAUAUUUAAAAACUCCGUAAAAUCUGGUUAAAACCAGAAAAAUUUCAUUGACCCGUGAUCUGAUAAUGGUUGACCGGAAAAAACUUAGAUAAAUCUAAUGGUCAUCUAUAUGAAAAUAUUAUAAAGUUGGUAAUUUGAGUAAUGUAGUGUGCUUUAGGCGGAUUUGGACGCUACCAGCAAAUUUAUAGAUUUGAAAUGUUGUUAUACAUACAUAGAUAUGUUCUUUAUUUAUUAAAUAAAUAGUAAUAAUGUCAAUUAGAUAUGGACCACGGCCUGUAUUUUUAGCUAACAGAUAAAAAAAAUAUUUGAGAAAAAUACUAUAUUUGUAUUUCUGGUCAUGAGAAAAUAAUUUGUGGGUUAAAUAAUUUAGUUACAACAAUAAAGGAAAAGUAGUAAAAAGGAGUGGGUCCCGCCGGUUACAGGGAAAAUGAUCAACUCGUCUGGAAAAGUACGUAACUGUCAUACCGUGGUGUGUGUAUGGUGUGUGUAUGUGGUGGUUAUCAUAUAAAAAAGUAUGUUUCGUUAAAAUAAUAGUUGGACCAAACAAAAAUCAACUGGUCAUGCUGCAGAAUUAAUAGAAUAGAUUACAAAACAUAAGUGACACCGCCUGUUGAAACCUCCAUGUGAUCUCUCUUGCUUCGGUCUUUGUCUUGUCUUGUCUAACUCCAAACAAUUGAAGCGUGCCGUGUCUUUCUUCAUUGCCUUCAAUCACUUACCAAAGUCACAUCCAUUAUGAACCCCCUUGAUUCUCUAGGGCACGCGCACACCUCUCCCCACCGUUAAUUCACUUUCUCCUCCUCCUCAGCCUCUCGUUUGCAAUCAAAGUUAGUGGCAGGAAACGCUAGAGUUGAUUGCGCUUUACAUAAUUGUUUAAACUGGUCAUCAUGGCUAGGAAAGGAAGAGUGGAUCACAAACAAACAAAGCAACGUAAGAAAACUUCUCUGUCUGAAAAGGAACAAGGGAAAGCUAGUGAGACUGAGAGUGUCCUGAAACAGAAUCCCCAAGAUGAUAUACAUACAACAAGUAUCCCAGUUUGUGAAACGUCUGAAAGAGACAUGGAUCAUGCAGUAGAUACAGACUUAGCUGGAGAUAGUAAACCUCCUGGUUCUGUAACAGAAGAAGAAGCUAGAUACAUUCCUUUUGGUCGUGAACACAUCAACUGUUUUAUGAGAAGCUUGCUUGAUAUUUUGAGCACCAACAGCCCCUCUGAGAACAUUGCGCUAUCAGGAAACUGAGGAUACCAUUGAAUCAGUGGAUGGAAAGAAACAGGCCUUUGAUAGUUUCUCUCAAAUCAAGAGCAUAUAAAGCUCGUGACAUUGUUGCAAAGAAGAUUCGGCAAGCGUGCCAUGCUGGAACAUAGCUUCCAUAUGAUUUCCUUUGUAUAGAAUCAAGCAAUACCUAGAGGGGCCAGCAAGGGAGAUCAGAGAUGGGAGAAACUAGAUGCAAGUUGAUAAAAUCAUUACCUCAUAAGCGUUCUGAAGUUUCUUAAAAGCUUCAGCUGCUCUCUCAUUCCCCAUCAUGGCAAGAACCUCGGUAUGCAUCAUACCUUCUGAGAGGAAUGCUGAAACCUCCUAACGUUCCAUGUGAACACGAGGCAGGUGCAAAACGAGGAACAAGUGGUUCAUCAGGGCAAAGAGGAGGAAACCAGAGGAUGCCAAAUGGGAACAUGGACGAAACAAUGACUUAGGAAGAGUUCUAUGAGUGGUUGCAGAACGCCGCGCAAGCUGGUAUGUUUGAUAAUGCUGCCAAGCCAGUAGCACUAGUACUAGUAGUAGCAAGAAGAACAAAAAGGGGAAGAAGCAAUGGUGAGCACUGACCAGUGUUGUUUCAUAUAUUAACAUGAUGAAAAUUUUGUAGCUUUUUUAAGGAAAUUGUACUAUUGCCUUUGAUAACUUUUAUUUAUACGUAGAAAAAGCUCUCGGAAGAAAGCUGAUUGAUAAAUUCAAUUUAAGUGUUCAGUUUAA